rnacentral:rRNA from 1 species
UACGAAGGGGGCUAGCGUUGCUCGGAUUGACUGGGCGUAAAGGGCGCGUAGGCGGUUCGUACAGUCAGACGUGAAAUUCCUGGGCUCAACCUGGGGGCUGCGUUUGAUACGUGCGGGCUUGAGUUCGGAAGAGGGUCGUGGAAUUCCCAGUGUAGAGGUGAAAUUCGUAGAUAUUGGGAAGAACACCGGUGGCGAAGGCGGCAACCUGGUCCGAUACUGACGCUGAGGCGCGAAAGCGUGGGGAGCAAACAGG